ensembl:lncRNA
GUGAGUCUGAGUGAACUCCGGGAGUUGGUGAUGGACAGGGAGACCUGGCGUGCUGCGAUUCAUGGGGUCGCAAAGAGUCGGACACGACUGAGCGACUGAUCUGAUCUGAUCUGAUCUGAUAAUUGUCUUAAGCUUCUCUGCCUUGCCCAUUCCCUGCCUCAGCUCACCCAAGGCCAUCUGAAGCAGUGUGUUUCCUGUUGCUCUGGCUUUCAUUCCCUCAAGUACAAGAAGCUACUGGGAGCUGUAAAUGCCUCCAUUAAAAAAGGAGAACAAUGUCAGAUCAAUAACAUUUACUUCAUACUUUUAGUGGUGCAUAACUCUUCACAUAACCCUACAUGGUAGAAUGGUCAAAACCUGCCAAGUCUUUAAAUAAAGAUGAUGGGAAAGAAAAA